AGAACGAACGCUGGCGGCAUGCCUCAUACAUGCAAGUCGAACGAAGGCUUCGGCCUUAGUGGCGCACGGGUGAGUAGCGCGUGGGAACCUACCCUUUUGUGGGGGAUAACCGAGGGAAACUUCGGCUAAUACCGCAUACGCCGGGUAACCGGGAAAGAUUUAUCGCAGAAGGAUGGGCCCGCGUCGGAUUAGCUAGUUGGUGGGGUAACGGCCUACCAAGGCUAUGAUCCGUAGCUGGUCUGAGAGGAUGAUCAGCCACACUGGGACUGAGACACGGCCCAGACUCCUACGGGAGGCAGCAGUAGGGAAUAUUGGACAAUGGGCGAAAGCCUGAUCCAGCAAUGCCGCGUGAGUGAGGAAGGCCUUAGGGUUGUAAAGCUCUUUCGGCGGGACGAUGAUGACGGUACCCGCAGAAGAAGCCCCGGCUAACUUCGUGCCAGCAGCCGC
rnacentral:rRNA from 1 species